rnacentral:rRNA from 1 species
GACGAACGCUGGCGGCGUGCUUAACACAUGCAAGUCGAACGGAAAGGCCCUGCUUUUGUGGGGUGCUCGAGUGGCGAACGGGUGAUUAACACGUGAGUAACCUGCCCUUGACUUUGGGAUAACUUCAGGAAACUGGGGCUAAUACCGGAUAGGAGCUCCUGCUGCAUGGUGGGUGUUGGAAAGUUUCGGCGGUUGGGGAUGGACUCGCGGCUUAUCAGCUUGUUGGUGGGGUAGUGGCUUACCAAGGCUUUGACGGGUAGCCGGCCUGAGAGGGUGACCGGACACAUAGGGACAGAGAUACGGCGCAGACUCCUACGGGAGGCAGAAGUGGGGAAUAUUGCACAAUGGGCGGAAGCCUGAUGCAGCAACGCAGCGUGCGGGAUGACGGCCUUCGGGUUGUAAACCGCUUUCGCCUGUGACGAAGAGUGAGUGACGGUAAUGGGUAAAGAAGCACCGGCUAACUACGUG